rnacentral:rRNA from 1 species
AACGCGAAGAACCUUACCUACUCUUGACAUCCUGCGAACUUGGUAGAGAUACCUUGGUGCCUUCGGGAACGCAGAGACAGGUGCUGCAUGGCUGUCGUCAGCUCGUGUUGUGAAAUGUUGGGUUAAGUCCCGUAACGAGCGCAACCCUUGUCCUUAGUUGCCAUCAUUUAGUUGGGGACUCUAAGGAGACUGCCGGUGACAAACCGGAGGAAGGCGGGGACGACGUCAAGUCAUCAUGGCCCUUACGAGUAGGGCUACACACGUGCUACAAUGGCAAGUACAGAGGGCCGCGAAGCCGCGAGGUGGAGCUAAUCUCACAAAGCUUGUCGUAGUCCGGAUUGGAGUCUGCAACUCGACUCCAUGAAGUCGGAAUCGCUAGUAAUCGCAAAUCAGAAUGUUGCGGUGAAUACGUUCCCGGGUCUUGUACACACCG